rnacentral:lncRNA from 7 species
AGGAACAAUUUUACACUGGCAGUCAGCUGUGCCAGCAUUUUUACUGUCCCGCAGAGGGAUUUCAGCACCUGAUUUGUAGGCGUAAGGGGACUUCACUGGGAAAUUACACGGCAGCGUGGCUCAGAGAGCACCUGCCGGAAGGAAACUCAGGUGAAAAUGAAGCAGUGGCAUGUGUCAGCAGUCCCACACAGAGCAGGAGGAGCAGAACGGAGACAAGCAUUAUACAGAGCCCUCUGCCAAAGUUUGGACGGAAGUAACACAAGUGAUCUAAGAAUUGGAAAUGCUCAGACACGAAAAGAAAAAAGAAUAAUUGACACAACGUGCAAUCGAUCUCUGGGCACCGGUGUUGCAGGAUAUUACAAGUACGGAUAGCAGACAGUUGGCUGAAAGACUGAGAAGAUUGCCAGACACCAGUAUUAAAUGAAAAUGUCAUCUAGGUCUCAUUAUGGACUUUCCAAGAAAUGGAGAAAUACAAACAAUAUUCUUAAACCAUCAUUCCUCUCCAAGUGGUGAGUUCUCAACAGUCAGUAGGCAACACAGAUUUCUCGUAUUAGAAGUGUAGCCACGUCAUCUGGUGAACUGAUUCAACUCUUCUGAACACUCAUCCAUUUUAAUACGUAUGUUGAAAGAAAUUAUUCUAAUGCUAUUAAACACUUGAGAUUAGGAUAAAAGUACUUUCAGUAUUGGUUUAUUGGUUGUUUUUUUUUUUUUUCAUUUUGAGUCUUUUUUCUCAUGUAAAAUAUUCUAGUUGAAUCUUUUCUGCUCUUCUCUGUUAAAGUUUUCACCUUGUUGUCAAAUACUGGUUCUUUGGCUAGUGUUCAUGGCUGUUGUGAGUGGACAUGAGAAAGAGAAUAGAAUUUUAUCUGGCUUAGACAACAUAGCAGUUACCGUAAGUUCUAGUUUCAGUAGAUGGUGAUAUUGUGAAUACAUCCUCGGCAAUAAACUCAGCUGGUUACUUGGUCAACAGAAGUGCUAUACUGGCUGCUAAUUGCAACCCUAUGUUGGAUAUGGUUCCAAGUGCAUGUUCUAAGCGUUAGCCCAGAAGGCAGUUUUCAAAGGAAAAAAGCUCUUCCAGAAAAUUCAGUUGUGAGGCUGGUGACUGAGACGAAAGGCACCAGAAACAACUUUAAAAAGCUGCGGUACCUCCUCUUCCUUCCUAAUCAUUUGGAUGUCUUUUUCCUCAGGGAGCAUGAGUGGGUAUUGACUAACAUAUUCAGACAAAAAGUAUUACGGAACAGAGACUCUUUGAACUACUCUUUGCAUUUAAGCUGAUCUUUGUUUAAAUCAGCUAUGAGCUAGGAAGGUAAUGGGGUCACACAUUUUACAAGAUGGGAAAAAAAAUGAUAUUACUAAAUAGCUAUGAUGCCAUGGAAAGGGCAAAAGGUUAUGAAAAUGAUUAGCUUGAGGGAAGAGUCACGUAUACAGAGGGAUGGAAACACUUGUCUAAUAAGUGUGUGGCAUUCCUCUGCUGUGAUAUCAGAAUUCACAAUACCAGCAAGCUUUUCUUUUCUGAACUCAUCAGAAAGUCUAAAUCCCACAUAAUUAAAAAGAAAGAAAGAAAAAAAAAAAAGUCAAGGAAAUGGUAAGGCUGUGGGAAGUAGGAAGAAAUUUUGUACUACUGAGCAUCAGCACCAUUUAGUUGCAUGGACACAGUCCAGUGAGAGGAGUUUAAUAUUCUAAGUCCCCAAAUAAAUCCGUGCUUUUUCUUUGCAUGUUUGAGUAAAGUUUUCCUAGUUAUUUGGUGGGACCAGAUAAGAGGGACUAUGCUGAUAUCAAAUAAAGGAAUGCAACCUCCAUAACUUUGUUUCUAUCCUGUUUACUGCCAGCCAAGAGUUUUAUUGUGUAUUAUGAACCACGAAAUUCCUUAAUAUGCUCUAUUUUAGGGAAAAGAUCUCAUGGCUUUAUUUAGUAGAUCUGCCCUGGCUGGCUAUGUGUCUGGUUGGAUUAGUUGUGAGGCCUAUUUUGUACAGUGUAUAAUAUAAAAUAUGCUGCUUUCUCUAUCUGGCUGCUCCAUAUUUUGAAAUACAGUCCUAUGAGGACCUUGGACAU